rnacentral:lncRNA from 1 species
CGAUCCUUGAUGGAGCCCCAUAACCACUGGAAAAUGGUCUGAGUCGCCCCCCACCGUCCUAACCCUAGUCUUAGCUCCAUCGUACAUGUUCUUGAUUACUCUGAUGUAUACUUCCGGCACGCUCUUCGCCUCCAAGCACCUCCAUUGGGACCUUGUCGUACGCCUUCUCCAAGUCGAUAAGCACCAUGUGCAGGUCCUUCUUAUCCCUGAACUGCUCCACCN